rnacentral:rRNA from 1 species
CUUAGGCGUGUGACUGCGUACCUUUUGUAUAAUGGGUCAGCGACUUAUAUUCUGUAGCAAGGUUAACCGAAUAGGGGAGCCGAAGGGAAACCGAGUCUUAACUGGGCGUUAAGUUGCAGGGUAUAGACCCGAAACCCGGUGAUCUAGCCAUGGGCAGGUUGAAGGUUGGGUAACACUAACUGGAGGACCGAACCGACUAAUGUUGAAAAAUUAGCGGAUGACUUGUGGCUGGGGGUGAAAGGCCAAUCAAACCGGGAGAUAGCUGGUUCUCCCCGAAAGCUAUUUAGGUAGCGCCUCGUGAAUUCAUCUCCGGGGGUAGAGCACUGUUUCGGCAAGGGGGUCAUCCCGACUUACCAACCCGAUGCAAACUGCGAAUACCGGAGAAUGUUAUCACGGGAGACACACGGCGGGUGCUAACGUCCGUCGUGAAGAGGGAAACAACCCAGACCGCCAGCUAAGGUCCCAAAGUCAUGGUUAAGUGGGAAACGAUGUGGGAAGGCCCAGACAGCCAGGAUGUUGGCUUAGAAGCAGCCAUCAUUUAAAGAAAGCGUAAUAGCUCACUGGUCGAGUCGGCCUGCGCGGAAGAUGUAACGGGGCUAAACCAUGCACCGAAGCUGCGGCAGCGACGCUUAUGCGUUGUUGGGUAGGGGAGCGUUCUGUAAGCCUGCGAAGGUGUGCUGUGAGGCAUGCUGGAGGUAUCAGAAGUGCGAAUGCUGACAUAAGUAACGAUAAAGCGGGUGAAAAGCCCGCUCGCCGGAAGACCAAGGGUUCCUGUCCAACGUUAAUCGGGGCAGGGUGAGUCGACCCCUAAGGCGAGGCCGAAAGGCGUAGUCGAUGGGAAACAGGUUAAUAUUCCUGUACUUGGUGUUACUGCGAAGGGGGGACGGAGAAGGCUAUGUUGGCCGGGCGACGGUUGUCCCGGUUUAAGCGUGUAGGCUGGU